rnacentral:rRNA from 1 species
CAGUAGCCGCGGUAAUACGUAGGGUGCGAGCGUUGUCCGGAAUUACUGGGCGUAAAGAGCUCGUAGGCGGUUUGUCGCGUCGUCUGUGAAAUUCUGCAGCUUAACUGUAGGCGUGCAGGCGAUACGGGCAGGCUUGAGUACUACAGGGGAGACUGGAAUUCCUGGUGUAGCGGUGAAAUGCGCAGAUAUCAGGAGGAACACCGGUGGCGAAGACGGGUCUCUGGGUAGUAACUGACGCUGAGGAGCGAAAGCGUGGGUAGCGAACAGGAUUAGAUACCCCAGUAGUCCCUGUCUCUUAUAC